rnacentral:rRNA from 1 species
UCAGGCCUACACAUGCAAGUCGAGCGGAUGAGUGGAGCUUGCUCCAUGAUUCAGCGGCGGACGGGUGAGUAAUGCCUAGGAAUCUGCCUGGUAGUGGGGGAUAACGUUUCGAAAGGAACGCUAAUACCGCAUACGUCCUACGGGAGAAAGUGGGGGAUCUUCGGACCUCACGCUAUCAGAUGAGCCUAGGUCGGAUUAGCUAGUUGGUGGGGUAAUAGCCCACCAAGGCGACGAUCCGUAACUGGUCUGAGAGGAUGAUCAGUCACACUGGAACUGAGACACGGUCCAGACUCCUACGGGAGGCAGCAGUGGUGAAUAUUGGACAAUGGGCGAAAGCCUGAUCCAGCCAUGCCGCGUGUGUGAAGAAGGUCUUCGGAUUGUAAAGCACUUGAAGUUGGGAGGAAGGGCAGUAAGUUA